CAGGAGUUAUCUUCAGUACUCGGGCUGCAUGCGCCUAGGGCUGCCUUCCCUAGGUGCCCUGUGCGUGGCACGUGUGACUGACACCCGCGCCGUCCAGGUGCCUGAGGUGGCCGGCUCACUCAAUGCUGAUGAUGCAUUCGUUUUGGAAACACCAGGAAAAACUUGCCUCUGGAUUGGCAAGGGAGCAAGUGAAGAGGAAAAGGCUAUGGCCGAGAAGGUUGCAGAGCUGGUAUCUCCUGGUCGUGACCUGCAGGUUGUGGCUGAAGGGGAGGAAAGCGAUGACUUCUGGGCUGGUCUCGGUGGUAAAGGUGAAUACCAAAAUGUUCGCGAGCUAGACAGACCUCUGUUGUAUCCCAGACUCUUCCACUGCACCAUCUCUCCUGUUGGCUGCCUCAGAGUUAAUGAGGUGUCUUAACUUCUCCCAGGAAGACCUGAAUUAGGAUGAUGUUAUGGUUCUGGACUCUGGCGAUGAAAUUUACGUUUGGGUUGGACAAGGUUCCGAUGACCAGGAGAAAGAGAGCCUUUGCUAUGGCAGAGGUAAGAUAAGGAGCUCGAGCUCAAAGAGGAGCUCAAAAUUAUGGAAAAUAUGAAGCCAUUCAUCUUUCUAAAGGAACUACGUUAAGACUGAUCCGACAGAACGUACCCUGGACUCGACUGUGAUCCUACGUGUGACGCAGGUAGAGGAACCGGCUGCCUUCACUGCCAUCUUUCCUGCAUGGAACCCCGACAUGUGGCAGGUGGAGGAUUAGACGGCUUGCCGUACUGUGAUGUGCGGUGUUUUGAUAGGUGGUAUUGCUUGUAGCUUCAUCUACACACUGCUCUGCCUGUAGUGCAUGCUGCCCUAAGGCAUUAUUCUCCUGCAGUUAGGCUGGGCAGACCUAGGUGUGGUGUGUUGCAAGAUGCUGUUGUACAAGAUUUGGUCCUCUGUUCCAUGUUGGAAGAGGCUUUGGGGCAACAAAAAGACAUGCAAAAAUAUCAUCUCAAUUUUACCAGUGUUAAAUAUUAAGGAUUUACCGUCUAGAACAGUGGUUCUCAAAAGGGAAAGGCACUUGACUUCUGAGUGAGGUACAGUACCUAUAUUUAAAAUCUAAUUGGAUGGAUAUGUCAGGGAAGGAAUAUCAGUGAGGGAAUGAACUCCAAAAUACAAAAGAAUAUACUUUGAGGAAACCUGGGAUCACAAUGGAAGGUUUGUGUCCUGGCACUCUGAGAACCACUGCUCUAGAACAUACCUAGAAAUGUGUGAUGAGUGCUUGUAGCAAUGUGCGUAGUGAUGCAUGUGUAUCUUAGUCUGCCUGAAGCUGCUGGCGAGACCCAUCAGUACCUUCAUAUGCAGGAUAUGACGACAGUUUUGAGAGGGGGGGGGGGGCUGCACAAAAGACUUGUGAUGCCCUUGGUGAAAAAUUUAUCUCGACACUACAUCUGAUCAUUUGUCUGGGAUAGAAGAUGCAGUCAAGUUAAAUUAGUCCUGGACACUAAUGUAGCUGUAGGAAGAUCAGAACUCAUAAUGAACCAUUCCUAAUCAGUGUAUUUGACAUUAAAUUUGCUAGAUUGUGAUGACUAACAUAGUGGUUGUUGCAGCAGCUUCCCAGACGAGCCGAGAAGUCUCAAAAUAUAGAAAAAGUUGUCAAAGAUCAACCUGAAAAGAAAGACUUCUAACUGUUGCUGUUGCCAAUGAGCGUGAAGUAAAACCGAUCAGCUGAGGAACUUCAAACAUACUAACCCUUUUGAUGUAUCCAAGGCUUCCCUCCUAAUAAUGUUGCAAACACUCGGGUCAUGUUUUGGAAGCCGUUUCACCAAAGAAUAUUUAAAACAUGUACAGUAGUGUGCCAUUUGCCACCUAAUGCGAAGCCAAGGUAAUAUGCAGAAUAAAUAUGAAUUCAGUA